UGGCUGGACCACGCAGCCGAAUCAUGUGGUGCUACGCAUUUCGAAAUAACAGCGCAGCACGCACAUCAUCCUGGCGGUGUUGUGCAGCAGGC
rnacentral:miRNA from 1 species